rnacentral:lncRNA from 1 species
CUGUAGGAAAAUUCUCUCCAGCAAGAAUGUAACCAACUACUGUAAGAAGCAAUGCGUCUCGGAAAGACAGAAGCCCUCUUGAUGAUGAUGAAUCUGGUUUCUCGUUCUUCUUCGCUUGAAGUUCAGCCAAAGCGCUCUUGUUGAUCAGGUCGCUGAUUUGAGCAGCCAGACCUUGGCUCGUAUCACCAGCGCUUACGUUUAACAUCAUCUCCGCACUGCUGAAAGCAUCCCAUUUGGCGCUUCCCACGGAUUUCCUGUGUGUACUGAACAGACAGCCCACGUGGGCCAAAAUCACCCGAACAGUCCACGGGAAGGGUCAGCGUGCUGAGUCCAAGGACCAACGUGCUGAAGUUCAGCCAAAGCGCUCUUGUUGAUCAGGUCGCUGAUUUGAGCAGCCAGACCUUGGCUCGUAUCACCAGCGCUUACGUUUAACAUCAUCUCCGCACUGCUGAAAGCAUCCCAUUUGGCGCUUUGGGAUUCAUCAAGCGCAGCGGCUGUAGCUGCCGCUAACUGAAU